rnacentral:rRNA from 1 species
UGGGGAAUAUUGCACAAUGGGCGCAAGCCUGAUCCAGCAAUGCCGCGUGUGUGAAGAAGGCCUUCGGGUUGUAAAGCACUUUUGUCCGGAAAGAAAUCCUUGGCUCUAAUACAGUCGGGGGAUGACGGUACCGGAAGAAUAAGCACCGGCUAACUACGUGCCAGCAGCCGCGGUAAUACGUAGGGUGCAAGCGUUAAUCGGAAUUACUGGGCGUAAAGCGUGCGCAGGCGGUUUGCUAAGACCGAUGUGAAAUCCCCGGGCUCAACCUGGGAACUGCAUUGGGUGACUGGCAGGCUAGAGUAUGGCAGAGGGGGGUAGAAUUCCACGUGUAGCAGUGAAAUGCGUAGAGAUGUGGAGGAAUACCGAUGGCGAAGGCAGCCCCCUGGGCCAAUACUGACGCUCAUGCACGAAAGCGUGGGGAGCAAACAGGAUUAGAUACCCUGGUAGUCCACGCCCUAAAACGAUGUCAACUAGUUGUUGGGGAUUCAUUUCCUAGUAACGUAGCUAACGCGUGAAGUUGACCGCCUGGGGAGUACGGUCGCAAGAUUAAAACUCAAAUGAAUUGACGGGGAU